UACGUAGGGUGCGAGCGUUAAUCGGAAUUACUGGGCGUAAAGCGUGCGUAGGCGGUUCGUUAAGUUCGUUGUGAAAGCCCCGGGCUCAACCUGGGAAUGGCAAUGGAAACUGGCGGGCUGGAGUAUGGCAGAGGGGGGUGGAAUUCCGCGUGUAGCAGUGAAAUGCGUAGAUAUCGUGAGGAAUACCAGAGGCGAAGGCGGCUACCUGGACAAUUGCUGACGCUCAGGCACGAAAGCGUGGGGAGCAAAAGGG
rnacentral:rRNA from 1 species